AUGCGAAUAAUUCUCGCCUGUUGGGUCUGUUUUGUGAUCUAAUCAGGGCUAGACAUUCGCUAGAGAAAAACCUUCAGAGUGUCCACAGAUGAGGUUUUGUACUUCUGUCUGUUUUCCUUUACUGUUGGUGACAGCU